GCGUGAGUGAGGAAGGCCUUAGGGUUGUAAAGCUCUUUCGCGCGCGACGAUGAUGACGGUAGCGCGAGAAGAAGCCCCGGCUAACUUCGUGCCAGCAGCCGCGGUAAUACGAAGGGGGCGAGCGUUGUUCGGAUUUACUGGGCGUAAAGGGCGCGCAGGCGGCGACACAUGUCAGGCGUGAAAGCCCCGGGCUUAACCUGGGAGGUGCGUUUGAAACGGUGUUGCUAGAGUUCGGGAGAGGAGAGUGGAAUUCCCAGUGUAGAGGUGAAAUUCGU
rnacentral:rRNA from 1 species